CAGGCCUAACACAUGCAAGUCGAACGAGAAGCUAACUUCUGAUUCCUUCGGGAUGAUGCAGUUGGUAGAAAGUGGCGAACGGGUGAGUAACGCGUGGGUAAUCUACCCUGUAAGUGGGGGAUAACCCUCCGAAAGGAGGGCUAAUACCGCAUAAGGUCUUCACUUCUUAAGAAGUAAAGAUUAAAGAUGGCCUCUAUACUAUGCUAUCGCUUCAGGAUGAGCCCGCGUCCUAUUAGUUAGUUGGUGGGUAAUGGCCUACCAAGACCACAAUGGGUAGCCGGUCUGAGAGGAUGUACGGCCACACUGGGACUGAGAUACGGCCCAGACUCCUACGGGAGGCAGCAGUGGGGAAUAUUGCGCAAUGGGGGAAACCCUGACGCAGCGACGCCGCGUGGAUGAUGAAGGCCUUUGGGUUGUAAAAUCCUGUUUUGGGGGAAGAAACCUUAAGGGUCCAAUAAGCCCUUAAGCUGACGGUACCCCAAGAGAAAGCUCCGGCUAAUUAUGUGCCAGCAGCCGCGGUAAUACAUAAGGAGCAAGCGUUAUCCGGAAUUAUUGGGCGUAAAGAGCUCGUAGGCGGUCUUAAAAGUCAGGUGUGAAAUUAUCAGGCUCAACCUGAUAAGGUCAUCUGAAACUUUAAGACUUGAGGAUAGAAGAGGGAAGUGGAAUUCCCGAU
rnacentral:rRNA from 1 species